rnacentral:rRNA from 1 species
AUUGAACGCUGGCGGCAGGCCUAACACAUGCAAGUCGAGCGGAUGAUGGGAGCUUGCUCCCGGAUUCAGCGGCGGACGGGCGAGUAAUGCCUAGGAAUCUGCCUGGUAGUGGGGGACAACGUUUCGAAAGGAACGCUAAUACCGCAUACGUCCUACGGGAGAAAGCAGGGGACCUUCGGGCCUUGCGCUAUCAGAUGAGCCUAGGUCGGAGUAGCUAGUUGGUGGGGUAAAGGCCUACCAAGGCGACGAUCCGUAACUGGUCUGAGAGGAUGAUCAGUCACACUGGAACUGAGACACGGUCCAGACUCCUACGGGAGGCAGCAGUGGGGAAUAUUGGACAAUGGGCGAAAGCCUGAUCCAGCCAUGCCGCGUGUGUGAAGAAGGUCUUCGGAUUGUAAAGCACUUUAAGUUGGGAGGAAGGGCAGUAAGUUAAUACCUUGCUGUUUUGACGUUACCAACAGAAUAAGCACCGGCUAACUUCGUGCCAGCCGCCGCGGUAAGAC